CCCCUUAAGUAUUGUAUUUCUAUUGCAUUUAUUGUGUUCAUAUAAGGAGAUAUUGUGCUGAAAUUUCUGCAUCCUAUUUUUUCUCAUAUUGUAUUUUGGGUUUUGAGUUUUGGAGGGUUCCAAAACUCAGAUAGGUUGAUCCGAACAUGAAAUCGGAGUGUUGAGAAUUGGCUUGUACCUAAAAAAUAAGUGUUCUUGCUUGGAUAGCAAGGUUCGGGAUU
rnacentral:lncRNA from 1 species